CACGGGGGGAACGCGAAGAACCUUACCUACCCUUGACAUGUACGGAACCUCGCAGAGAUGUGAGGGUGCCCGAAAGGGAGCCGUAACACAGGUGCUGCAUGGCUGUCGUCAGCUCGUGUCGUGAGAUGUUGGGUUAAGUCCCGCAACGAGCGCAACCCUUGCCAUUAGUUGCUACAUUCAGUUGGGCACUCUAAUGGGACUGCCGGUGACAAACCGGAGGAAGGUGGGGAUGACGUCAAGUCCUCAUGGCCCUUAUGGGUAGGGCUUCACACGUAAUACAAUGGCAGGUACAGAGGGACGCCAACCCGCGAGGGGGAGCCAAUCCCAGAAAGCCUGUCGUAGUCCGGAUUGUAGUCUGCAACUCGACUACAUGAAGCUGGAAUCGCUAGUAAUCGCGGAUCAGCAUGUCGCGGUGAAUACGUUCCCGGGUCUUGUACACACGC
rnacentral:rRNA from 1 species